AUAUGAAGUCGUACCUGCCCAGUGAAUUUUAAACGGCCGCAGUACCCUGACUGUGCAAAGGUAGCAUAAUAAUUUGCCUUAUAAUUGAAGGCUAGAAUGAAUGGUUUGACAUGGGCAAGUCUGUCUCCUUAGAAUUCCGUAGAAUUUUAUCUAUAAGUGAAAAAGCUUAUAUACCAUUAAAAGACAAGAAGACCCUAUCGAGCUUGAAACAAAUUAGUAUGCAUACGUAUAUUAUUAAACUAGAUUUAAAAUACUAAAUUAUUUUAGUUGGGGCAACUAGGGAGCACAAAAAACCUCCUUUUCCUUCUACACCUUUAGUUACGAUCCAGGACCCCUGAAUAAAGAAUUAGUUACCGUAGGGAUAACAGCAUUAUUUUUUUUAAGAGCUCGAAUCGAAAAAAAAGUUUGUGACCUCGAUGUUGGACCAGAAUACCCCAAAGAUGCAGAAGUCUUUAAAGGUUGGUCUGUUCGACCAUUAAAAUUCUA
rnacentral:rRNA from 1 species